AUUGGCUGAGCUUUCCCUUCCUCUUUCCUCUGAGCCUCCACUGGGAGAAUACUCCAUCCGGGUGAAAGACACAGUCCAUGCAUUCACUGUGGAGGAAUAUGUUCUUCCAAAGUUUGAAGUUUCCCUUCAGUUCCCUAAGGUUGUUAUGUUUGACAGUGACCAGUUCCCACUUCAUGUAUGUGCAAGAUACACUUAUGGGAAGCCAG